UGGGGAAUAUUGCGCAAUGGGGGGAACCCUGACGCAGCGACGCCGCGUGCGGGAUGAAGGCCUUCGGGUUGUAAACCGCUUUUGAUUGGGAGCAAGCUUUCGGGUGAGUGUACCUUUCGAAUAAGCGCCGGCUAACUACGUGCCAGCAGCCGCGGUAAUACGUAGGGCGCAAGCGUUAUCCGGAAUUAUUGGGCGUAAAGGGUACGUAGGUGGUUUUUUAAGUCAGGUGUCAAAGCGUGGAGCUUAACUCCAUUAAGCACUUGAAACUGAAAGACUUGAGUGAAGGAGAGGAAAGUGGAAUUCCUAGUGUAGCGGUGAAAUGCGUAGAUAUUAGGAGGAAUACCGGUGGCGAAGGCGACUUUCUGGACUUUUACUGACGCUCAGGUACGAAAGCGUGGGGAGCAAACAGG
rnacentral:rRNA from 1 species